GACGAACGCUGGCGGCGUGCCUAACACAUGCAAGUCGAACGGAACUGUUUUGAAAGAUUUCUUCGGAAUGAAUUUGAUUUAGUUUAGUGGCGGACGGGUGAGUAACGCGUGAGUAACCUGCCUUCAAGAGGGGGAUAACAUUCUGAAAAGAAUGCUAAUACCGCAUGACAUAUCGGAAUCACAUGGUUUUGAUAUCAAAGAUUUUAUCGCUUGAAGAUGGACUCGCGUCCGAUUAGUUAGUUGGUGAGGUAACGGCUCACCAAGACCGCGAUCGGUAGCCGGACUGAGAGGUUGAACGGCCACAUUGGGACUGAGACACGGCCCAGACUCCUACGGGAGGCAGCAGUGGGGGAUAUUGCGCAAUGGGGGCAACCCUGACGCAGCAACGCCGCGUGAAGGAUGAAGGUUUUCGGAUUGUAAACUUCUUUUAUUAAGGACGAAACUUGACGGUACUUAAUGAAUAAGCUCCGGCUAACUACGUGCCAGCAGCCGCGGUAAUACGUAGGGAGCAAGCGUUGUCCGGAUUUACUGGGUGUAAAGGGUGCGUAGGCGGCUUUGCAAGUCAGAUGUGAAAUCUAUGGGCUCAACCCAUAAACUGCAUUUGAAACUGUAGAGCUUGAGUGAAGUAGAGGCAGGCGGAAUUCCCCGUGUAGCGGUGAAAUGCGUAGAGAUGGGGAGGAACACCAGUGGCGAAGGCGGCUUGCUGGGCUUUAACUGACGCUGAGGCUCGAAAGCGUGGGUAGCAAACAGGAUUAGAUACCCUGGUAGUCCACGCUGUAAACGAU
rnacentral:rRNA from 1 species